rnacentral:rRNA from 1 species
GACGAACGCUGGCGGCGUGCCUAAUACAUGCAAGUCGUGCGGACCUUGUUGAAAGCUUGCUUUUAAAAGGUUAGCGGCGGACGGGUGAGUAACACGUGGGCAACCUGCCUGUAAGACUGGGAUAACGCCGGGAAACCGGGGCUAAUACCAGAUCGUUUUUUCCUCCGCAUGGAGGAAAAAGGAAAGGCGGCUUCGGCUGCCACUUACGGAUGGGCCCGCGGCGCAUUAGCUAGUUGGCGGGGUAAUGGCCCACCAAGGCAACGAUGCGUAGCCGACCUGAGAGGGUGAUCGGCCACAUUGGGACUGAGACACGGCCCAAACUCCUACGGGAGGCAGCAGUAGGGAAUCUUCCGCAAUGGACGAAAGUCUGACGGAGCAACGCCGCGUGAGUGAAGAAGGCCUUCGGGUCGUAAAACUCUGUUGCCGGGGAAGAACAAGUGCCGUUCGAACAGGGCGGCGCCUUGACGGUACCCGGCCAGAAAGCCACGGCUAACUACGUG